CCUACGGGAGGCAGCAGUGAGGAAUAUUGGUCAAUGGACGCAAGCCUGAACCAGCCAAGCCGCGUGCAGGAUGACGGCCCUACGAGUUGUAAACUUCUUUUGUAAAGGGAUAAAUUCAGGCACGUGUGCCUGUUUGAAAGUACUUUAUGAAUAAGGAUCGGCUAACUCCGUGCCAGCAGCCGCGGUAAUACGGAGGAUCCGAGCGUUAUCCGGAUUUAUUGGGUUUAAAGGGUGCGUAGGUGGGUUGUUAAGUCAGAGGUGAAAGUCCGGGGCUCAACCCCAGAAGUGCCUUUGAUACUGGCUGGCUUGAGUAUAGGUGAGGUAGGCGGAAUGCGUGGUGUAGCGGUGAAAUGCAUAGAGAUCACGCAGAACUCCGAUUGCGAAGGCAGCAUACCAAACUCCGACUGACGUUGAGGCACGAAAGCGUGGGUAUCAAACAGGAUUAGAUACCCGGGUAGUC
rnacentral:rRNA from 1 species